AACGCUGGCGGCAGGCUUAACACAUGCAAGUCGAGCGGGCGAGGUUGCUUCGGUAACUGAGCUAGCGGCGGACGGGUGAGUAAAGCUUAGGAAUCUGCCUAUUAGUGGGGGACAACAUUUCGAAAGGGAUGCUAAUACCGCAUACGUCCUACGGGAGAAAGCAGGGGAUCACUUGUGACCUUGCGCUAAUAGAUGAGCCUAAGUCGGAUUAGCUAGUUGGUGGGGUAAAGGCCUACCAAGGCGACGAUCUGUAGCGGGUCUGAGAGGAUGAUCCGCCACACUGGGACUGAGACACGGCCCAGACUCCUACGGGAGGCAGCAGUGGGGAAUAUUGGACAAUGGGGGGAACCCUGAUCCAGCCAUGCCGCGUGUGUGAAGAAGGCCUUUUGGUUGUAAAGCACUUUAAGUGGGGAGGAGGCUCUCUUGGUUAAUACCUGAGAAGAGUGGACGUUACCCACAGAAUAAGCACCGGCUAACUCUGUGCCAGCAGCCGCGGUAAUACAGAGGGUGCGAGCGUUAAUCGGAUUUACUGGGCGUAAAGCGCGCGUAGGUGGUUAAUUAAGUCAAAUGUGGAAUCCCCGAGCUUAACUUGGGAAUUGCAUUCGAUACUGGUUAGCUAGAGUAUGGGAGAGGAUGGUAGAAUUCCAGGUGUAGCGGUGAAAUGCGUAGAGAUCUGGAGGAAUACCGAUGGCGAAGGCAGCCAUCUGGCCUAAUACUGACACUGAGGUGCGAAAGCAUGGGGAGCAAACAGGAUUAGAUACCCUGGUAGUCCAUGCCGUAAACGAUGUCUACUAGCCGUUGGGGGAUUUGAUCCUUUAGUGGCGCAGCUAACGCGAUAAGUAGACCGCCUGGGGAGUACGGUCGCAAGACUAAAACUCAAAUGAAUUGACGGAAGG
rnacentral:rRNA from 1 species